rnacentral:rRNA from 1 species
AUUGAACGCUGGCGGCAUGCCUUACACAUGCAAGUCGAACGGCAGCACGGGUGCUUGCACCUGGUGGCGAGUGGCGAACGGGUGAGUAAUACAUCGGCACAUGUCCUGUAGUGGGGGAUAGCCCGGCGAAAGCCGGAUUAAUACCGCAUACGAUCUACGGAUGAAAGCGGGGGACCUUCGGGCCUCGCGCUAUAGGGUUGGCCGAUGGCUGAUUAGCUAGUUGGUGGGGUAAAGGCCUACCAAGGCGACGAUCAGCAGCUGGUCUGAGAGGACGACCAGCCACACUGGGACUGAGACACGGCCCAGACUCCUACGGGAGGCAGCAGUGGGGAAUUUUGGACAAUGGGCGAAAGCCUGAUCCAGCAAUGCCGCGUGUGUGAAGAAGGCCUUCGGGUUGUAAAGCACUUUUGUCCGGAAAGAAAUCCUUGGCCCUAAUACGGUCGGGGGAUGACGGUACCGGAAGAAUAAGCACCGGCUAACUACGUG